rnacentral:lncRNA from 1 species
AGCGUCUCCACAGCAAGAUUCCAAGCAAAGAUCCCUAUGAUUCAGAUAGCUUGGAGCAGAGCUUCUACGGGAUAAAUGUGGUUUUUUUCUGACUCAUAGGAAUCAUCACUCCAACAAAACCUUCACUGGGUAUGUGCUGUUAAUAGAAUGACUAUGUCCAUUCCUAGUCAUACUAAAUACUCUUUUCCUGGAGGGAAGGAAGGAAAAAAAGGAACAGGUAACGAGACAUCUCCUCUGCCCCAGGUCUCCCUUCUGACGGUGCAAUAUUGCUACAAGCCUUCAUUUCCACAUCCGGGGAAAGGAGCAGUCGUAAGGCAGUCUCCAAUCAGUAACCAGCCCUAAAUAGGAGAGAGGAAGGGGCCAGAUAGAAGAAGUCCAUGAGUGAAGUGACAUCCACAGAAGCUAAAAAAACAAGUGGAAAGAAAUGCCCCCAUGGUGAGUUGUUACCUAAUAUCUGGCUUUCUAAAGAGUGAUUACUUGGGUUAUCUUUCUUAUCUUCAUAACUGUGUUAGUUGUUAAACUCAC